rnacentral:rRNA from 1 species
CCCGGGCUAUAUAUAGCUCGAAGUCAGCGUAACUAAAGAGCNGAUACGCAGGGUAAAGCUCCAUCCGCUCCGGCCCAUCUNCAUGUUUUUCUGAUGUGAAAGCCCCCGUGCUCAACCCGGAGUGAGGUUCAUUGGAUAACUAGGGAGACUUGAGUGCAGAAGAGGAAAGUGGCACAUUCCAUGUGUAGCGGUAGAACAUGCGUAGAUAUAUGGAGGACACACCAGUGGCUGAAGUGCAGUGAUCUCUGAGUCUGAUAAACUGACGACUGANGCUCGAAAGCUGUGGGGAAGCAACAACACGGACUUAUGAUACCCUGGUAGUCCACAGACCGUAAAACGAUUGAGGGGCUAAGUGUUCUGGACAGGGUUAUUANCCAGCACCAUAUCAUGUUAGCCUAGAAUGUCUAUAACGGCAUAAAGGCACU